rnacentral:rRNA from 1 species
CGAAGGGUGCAAGCGUUACUCGGAAUUACUGGGCGUAAAGCGUGCGUAGGUGGUUCGUUAAGUCUGAUGUGAAAGCCCUGGGCUCAACCUGGGAAUGGCAUUGGAUACUGGCGAUCUAGAGUGCGGUAGAGGGCAGUGGAAUUCCCGGUGUAGCAGUGAAAUGCGUAGAGAUCGGGAGGAACAUCUGUGGCGAAGGCGACUGCCUGGACCAGCACUGACACUGAGGCACGAAAGCGUGGGGAGCAAACAGGAUUAGAUACCCUGGUAGUCCACGCCCUAAACGAUGCGAACUGGAUGUUGGGUGCAACUAGGCACUCAGUAUCGAAGCUAACGCGUUAAGUUCGCCGCCUGGGGAGUACGGUCGCAAGACUG